GGGAUGAACGCUGGCGGCGUGCCUAAUACAUGCAAGUCGAACGAGGUGCUUUUGUAGCAAUACGAGAGUAUCCUAGUGGCGAACGGGUGAGUAACGCGUUGGUGACCUACCCCAAAGUGUGGAAUAACAGUCCGAAAGGAUUGCUAAUACCGCAUGUGGUUAUCGGGCUUAGAAACUGAUAACUAAAGGAGCAAUUCGCUUUGGGAGGGACCUGCGUCCCAUCAGCUAGUUGGUGAGGUAACGGCUCACCAAGGCAUCGAUCGGUA
rnacentral:rRNA from 1 species